GCAUAUCAAUACACCGGAGG
rnacentral:rRNA from 1 species